CUUUUGGAACAGCACUUCUCUCAGCAGGCCAUCCAUUCAUGAUGACGUUUCUCAGCAUUAUCAUUUCAGGAUCCUCUGCUGUGGCUUUCCUGAACUCUUGAAGUUUCUUGUCUGAGAUAGGCAAUUGAGGUGUUAUCCAGUUUAUCUCCAGUUCCUCUUCAAGCAGUUCUUCUGUAUGUUCUUUGAGCUUUCUCAGUGGUGCACUUCCUUCUGACAAAUUGGGAAUGAACAUGGCUAGAUACUGCAGCAUACCCAGAAAUCUCUGUAGAGCCCGUUUGUCUUCUGGUGGCGGUAGCUGGAUUACAGCUCUCACCUUCUCAUCAUCUGGUUUGAGUCCAUCAGCUGUGAGUACGUGACCAAUGUACUUGAUCGUUGACGUUCUAAUUUGGCAUUUCUUUCUGUUAAAUUUAAGAUUAUACUCUCUUGUUCUUUGCAGGAGUUUUCUUAGUCUGCGAUCAUGUUCUUGUACAGUUUCUCCCCAUACUAACAGAUCAUCUACUAUGUUGAUUACACCAUCCAGAUCUUCAAUCAUCUGUGCUAUCGCUCUUUGAAAUACCUCUGAUGCCGAUGAUAUUCCAAAAGGCAAUUGGAACUUUUCGUGGUGCAUGAACAACUGGUUUGACUGUUGGAUCUACUUGUAUCCUGGCAUACAUCCUAAACCAC